rnacentral:lncRNA from 1 species
AGACUUUUGCUAAAGUGAAGUGAUCAAUUCUAUGAGUUAAUUAAAGAGACAAAUAUAACAACAUCAAUAUACUUAAGAGACAUUUAAAAAUUAACAACUAUUAUCUUUGGAAGAAUUUCUUACAACUAGUUGCAAAAAUAAAAUUUGAUUGAAUAGAAGAGAGCAUGAUCUUUAACAUUAUAAAAUCAUGAUCAAACAAUUAGUUGUUUAAUUACAUGCAAAUGAGAAAAAAUAUGACCAAGUUUUUCAAAUUUGUUAACGUUAUGAUCCUUAUUUUUUCCCUAUUUCUUGCUGUAUGCAAUGGUAAUAAGCCCUUCCUCUCAUCUUUUUUAAUUUUUUUCCCUUAGACUAAUUUUUCAUCCUCCUUCUAUAAUUAACAUUCUUUUAUUCUUAUUUUACGUUGCAGCAAAUUCUUGGUCUCUACUACCACCGCCUAUUGUUUGUUAUACUAUCAAACAUUGUCCAAAAGAUUUUUGCACCUACCC